rnacentral:miRNA from 1 species
UGGUUGGAUGAGAAGCAAAUU